rnacentral:rRNA from 1 species
AUGUUUCCCUCUACUCUAGUGUCCAGUCUAUGGGAUACUCUGAAAUGGAAUAUAGGAGGGAAACAAAGUAAAGUAGUAUUUCCUUGUACACUCCUGCAUUGCCAAAAGCCCCAGAACCGUAAACCCCAGCCCGACCGCAGCUACAUUCCUGUCCGCAAUGACGCUCACCGCCAACCACGCUGCCGCCGCAACGUUAGCCGUUAUAACCAGCAGCGCCGCCUCGCAGCCCUGCCACGCCCCGUCCUUCCUCCUGCUCAAGCAUCACACAGUCUCCGUCACCCAUGCCCCGGAGCAUUUCGAGAGCCUAGCCGAAGAAGUUUGCGCAGUGUAUAG